CAUGCAUUAUUCUUAAACAGUUUCUGAAGAUUUUCCACGACAUUCUUAUCCAGCUGGAAAGCUUUAGCGAGAACAUCAGGAUUAAUAGGUGGAUUAGGUCCGAAGAUUGCAUUUGCUAUGGUAAUGACACCUGGGUUUUGGCUGCUUAGACCUGCAAACGCAACUGCAUGCGUUUUUGCAAUAUUAAACUGGAAAUGAAUGAGACCAAUUGGAAAUACAAACACAUCUCCUGGGUAUAAGACUUUGGAGAUAAAACGAUUAGGGUUGGAUGUGACAAAGCCAACAUAAAGGGUGCCUUCCANNNNNNNNNNNNNNNNNNNNNNNNNNNNNNNNNNNNNNNNNNNNNNNNNNNNNNNNNNNNNNNNNNNNNNNNNNNNNNNNNNNNNNNNNNNNNNNNNNNNNNNNNNNNNNNNNNNNNNNNNNNNNNNNNNNNNNNNNNNNNNNNNNNNNNNNNNNNNNNNNNNNNNNNNNNNNNNNNNNNNNNNNNNNNNNNNNNNNNNNNNNNNNNNNNNNNNNNNNNNNNNNNNNNNNNNNNNNNNNNNNNNNNNNNNNNNNNNNNNNNNNNNNNNNNNNNNNNNNNNNNNNNNNNNNNNNNNNNNNNNNNNNNNNNNNNNNNNNNNNNNNNNNNNNNNNNNNNNNNNNNNNNNNNNNNNNNNNNNNNNNNNNNNNNNNNNNNNNNNNNNNNNGAGCUGUUAGUGGAUCUAAUUCCUUUGUGUCUACAAGAUCUGGAUGUCAUCCUAGGUAUGGACUGGUUAUCCCGUCAUCAUGCCACAAUAGAUUGCUUUGAGAAAUCAGUGGUAUUUAAUAGUCUAGAAGGGUCUAAGUUCACUUUCUUUGGGGAGAGGCGUUUACUUCCUUCUUAUGUGAUUUCCGCCAUGACUACUAGGAAGAUGCUUCGGAAGGGUUGUCAAGCAUACUUAGCCUAUGUGAUGGACAGUAGUCAGGAAGGACCUAAAUUGGAGGAUAUACCAAUAGUAAACGAGUUCCCUGAUGUAUUUCCUAAAGAGCUUCCUGGGUUGCCUCCAGAUAGAGAGAUUGAAUUCUCUAUUGAUUUAAAUCCAGGUACAGCUCCUAUUUCCAUGGCACUAUACAGAAUGGCCCCAGCAGAAUUGAAGGAGUUAAAAGCACAAUUGCAGGAGUUACUUGAUAAAGGUUUCAUAAGACCCAGUGUUUCACCUUGGGGAGCCCCUGUGCUAUUUGUGAAGAAGAAGGAUGGUUCCUUAAGGUUGUGUAUUGACUACAGACAAUUGAAUCGAGUCACAGUGUGAAAUAAGUAUCCUUUACCCCGCAUUGAUGAUCUUUUUGAUCAACUUCAAGGUGCUAAAGUAUUCUCUAAGAUUGAUUUGCGGUCUGGUUAUCAUCAAUUGAAGAUCAAGGAGUCUGAAAUACCUAAGACAGCCUUUAGAACUCGUUACGGGCAUUAUGAGUUUCUCGUCAUGCCUUUCGGGUUAACUAAUGCACCCGCUGCUUUUAUGGAUCUCAUGAAUAGGGUGUUCAAGCCCUACUUGGAUAGCUUUGUUAUUGUGUUUAUUGAUGACAUCUUAGUGUAUUCUCGUAGCAAGGAAGAGCAUGAUGCAUCUACGGAUAGUACUGCAGAUUUUGAGAGAUAAACAACUAUAUGCUAAAUUGAGCAAAUGUGAGUUCUGGCUUGAUCGGGUGGUUUUCUUGGGACAUGUUAUCUCAGCAGAUGGAGUUUUGGUUGAUCCUAAGAAGAUUGAAGCAGUAGUCAAUUGGGAUCCUCCGACGAAUGUUACCGAGGUUAGAAGUUUUCUGGGCUUAGCAGGGUAUUAUCGUCGCUUUGUUCGGGAUUUCUCCAUCAUUGCAGCACCAUUGACUAAACUCCUUCGAAAGAAUGCAAAGUUUGAAUGGACAGAUGAAUGUCAAGAGAGUUUUGAGAAGCUUAAAACGUGUCUUACAUCAGCUCCAGUUCUUACCUUACCCUCAGGUACAGAUGGAUUUGUGGUGUAUAGUGAUGCUUCUCACAAGGGUUUAGGUUGUGUACUCAUGCAACAUGGGAAGGUGAUAGCUUAUGCUUCUAGACAGCUUAGACCACAUGAAUUAAAUUAUCCCACCCAUGAUCUGGAAUUAGCUGCAGUAGUGUUUGCAUUAAAGACAUGGAGGCAUUAUCUUUAUGGCGUGACUUGCCAGAUUUUUACAGAUCAUAAGAGUUUGAAGUAUCUUCUCACACAGAAGGAGUUGAAUUUAAGGCAGAGACGGUGGAUUGAGUUACUUAAGGACUACGACUGUACUAUUGAAUAUCAUCCAGGUAAAGCUAAUGUGGUAACUGAUGCUCUUAGUCGCAAGUCCUUUAGUAAUUUAGCCUAUCUCAAAACAGUUCGGCUUCCUUUGUUACUAGAGAUCAGAUCCUUAAGGGUAGAGCUAGCAGUGGAUGAUGCAGGAGCAUUGUUAGCAACUCUUAAAGUUCGACCAGUGUUGAUAGAAAAAGUCAGAGAAGCCCAAAAUCAACAUGAGCAGUUGAGUAAAAUCAGUAAUGAAGUAAGAGAUGGCACCCGUAUUGACUUUUCUUUAAGGGAAGACAAUAUUUUAAUGUUUGGUAAUAGACUGUGUGUACCCAAAGUGGAAAGCUUGAAGAGAGAGAUUAUGGAGGAAGCCCAUUGUUCUGCUUACUCUAUGCAUCCAGGCAGUACAAAAAUGUACAGAGAUCUUAGAGAAAACUAUUGGUGGCCAGGUAUGAAGAAAGAAAUAGCUGACUUUGUGUCUACAUGUUUAGUUUGCCAACAGAUUAAAGCAGAACAUCAACAUCCAACAGGGAAGCUGCAACCACUCUCUAUUCCGGAAUGGAAGUGGGAACACAUCACUAUGGAUUUUAUUUUUGGGUUAUCUCGUAGUUCGCAUAGACAUAAUGCAGUUUGGGUGAUAGUUGAUAGAUUAACCAAGUCAGCACACUUUUUUCCUGUCAGGAUGAAUUAUUCUUUAGACAAGUUAGCAGAGAUCUAUGUCAAUGAGAUUGUAAGACUUCAUGGUGCUCCAGUUUCUAUUGUUUCAGAUAGAGCUCCAAGAUUCACUUCUCGUUUUUGGCCUAGUUUGCAAAAUGCUUUAGGCACUAAGUUGAAGUUUAGCACUUCUUUCCACCCUCAAACUGAUGGUCAAUCAGAAAGAACUAUUCAGACCUUGGAGGAUAUGCUGAGAGCUUGUGUAAUGGAGUUUAAAGAAAGUUGGGAUAGGUAUGUGCAUUUAAUGGAGUUUUCUUAUAAUAAUAGUUAUCAUUCGAGUAUCGGCAUGGCUCCUUACGAAGCUUUGUAUGGGAGAAGAUGCAGAACACCAUUGUGUUGGAAUGAGAUAGGGGAAAGACAAUUAGAAGGUCCAGAACUUGUACAACACACUACAGAUAAAAUUCAGAUGAUCAGAAGUAGAUUAAAAGCAGCACAAGACAGAUAGAAGAGUUAUACAGAUCUGAAGAGAAGGGAUAUUGAAUAUAAUGUUGGCGACAAGGUAUUUCUGAAGAUCUCUCCUUGGAAAGGGGUUGUACGUUUUGGCAAACGUGGAAAAUUGAGUCCGCGAUUCAUUGGACCAUAUGAGAUUUUAGAGAGAAUUGGACCAGUUGCUUAUCCUUUAGCACUACCUCUAGAGCUAUCUCAGAUUCAUGAUGUCUUCCAUGUAUCUAUGUUAAGGAGAUACAGAAGUGACCCUUCCCACAUCCUCCAGAAAUAGCCUAUUGAGUUGAGGAAAGAUUUAACAUAUGAAGAAGAGCCAGUAGAGAUCAUUGCCAGAGAAGAGAAGGUUUUAAGGAGCAAGAUAAUACCCUGGUUAAAGUUCGAUGGAGUAACCAUUCUACUAAAGAAGCUAUCUGGGAAAAAGAAGAAUAUGCGAAUUCAAUUUCCACAUUUAUUCCCUUCACCAGGUAUGUAAAUUUCGAGGACGAAAUUUCUAUUAGGAGGAGAGAAUUAUCAGGCCCAGGCCCAGGCCUUUAAACAAAAAUAAUAAUAAUAAUAAUAAUUAAAAGCUUUGGUUUCGGGAAGGAUCCCGAAACCGCGGCCACCGUCUUCCUCCUCCAGAAAUAGAGCUUGCUCUGUUAGUUUAAAAAAAAAAAAAUUUCCUUUUCUUUAAAUCCAAAUCUUCUCCUUCUCAACCCAACCAACCCAUAAACUUCUAAGAUCCUUCAGCUAGAUCCUGAUUAAACCUAUAUUCUGCUUAAAAAAUUCAAUAAUGUCUUCCAGAGGCUCCAAAAUUUGGGUAGGUGAGUUUUAUUCCUUUUAUUCAAUUUUUACGAUAUAAUUUAUUUUCUUUCCCUUUUAAUAGUGAUUUUUGUGAUUUGAGGAUAAAAAUGGGUUAUGUUUUAGGUAGAUCCAAUUAAUGAGUUUUAAUAUUUAUUUUUGGGAUUAAUGAUUUUUAUAGGUUGAUUUAAAUAAUAUUUACAGCUUAUUGAGUAUUUUUGUUGAGUUUGGAUAUUUUUGGAAGGACUAACUAUGCCGAAAUAUUACCGAAAUUUUCUUAAAAAUAUAUAUAUAAAUAUAUUUAAAAUUUCGUAUUUUACAUUUUAUAUUAUUGUUCUAGAGCAUUUUUAUUAUUUGAUAUAUUAUUUUAUUUUCUUUUUAAUUCUAGGAGAGGAUCCAGCUUCCAGGAUAGAUAAUAGGGGUCCUCCUGCGACCUAGGUCUUUUGUCCCAAGUAUUCUGGUGAGGGGAUAAAUAUAUAACAUUGAUAUUUUUCUUAAAUGUAUUUAUAUGUGUAUAUGUUAUUUUGUUUAUUUAAAAUGGGAAAGGAUAAAGUUAUUUUAUAUUUCUUGAAUCACUGAAAAUUUAAUGUAAAGCACAGCUGAAUAAAUAGCCGAUUACACUCUGUAUAUGCACCGAACAGAUAACACCUUGAUGACAGGUGAUUUAUUUUCAGCAUGAUAUAUAGUUAUACUGUCUUUGGGACAGCGCUUGAUAUACAGAUAGCCUUUGGGGCGUAUGUCAGGUGGUCACCCUUUGGGGGUAGCUCUGCACAUGUGUAUGACCAGCAUUUCAUUAGCUCUUAGGCCAAAUUUGUCAUUAUAGAGCCUAAGAUGCCAGCAUUGCUAUCAGGCUGUUAUUAUUUUAUUAUACCUGAGAUGCCAGCAUUAUCUGCAGGGAACAUAUUAUGAGUGUAUGCGGAUUCUAUUUUUCACAGUUUAUUUUAUAUUGAUGGAAUUAAAUUGUAUUUAUUCAGCUGACUUAUUUUAGCUAAAUAUUUGGUACUAUUAAGUACCUAAACUUAUCUUUUCCCCUUUGUUAUUUAUUUAUCCGCUCACUGAGUAGUUUGUACUCACCCUUUUAUUUCUUUUAAAUUUACAGUUCCUUUUUGGUGAUUUGCUCAGCAGUCCUCAUCUUCUUGUUUGUCAUUCUUUCCACAUCGUCCACUCAGAGUCUAGAGGAGGUCGGACCAAUCCUAAGCCUUUUGUCUUUUCUUUUAUAAUUUUGAUAGAUCAUGUAUAGAUUGUACAGCCCAGUGGAAAAGGUGUUUUGUUGAUUGUAAAUAUUUUAUGAAUUGACAGGUCCAACUAUCAGUUUUUCUCUUUUAUGCUUAAUGUUUUGAAAUCAUAGCAGGUUAAAGGUGUUUUAUAUGUAUAAAUAUUAGGGGAAGCUCUGGCAGUUUUUCCAGUCAUAUCCAUCUCUACAGAUUAGAGAAUAGGUGUGACAUAAAAAGUGUUGCCCUAGAUGAUACUUGCUUCCUAAUUAGUGAACAGGCUGCCCAAGGUGUCAAGAGGCUGCCCAAAAGACUUCAAGAGGCUGCCCAAAAUGCCCUUAGUCCAAGAUGUGCUAUCCAUGAACAUGUGAAAAGGAAAAACGUGGGGCAUGUGUUCAAAUGCAAGGAGUGGGACCUUUGGUCUUUACUUGCUGCUCAAGUGUCUUCAAGAUGCUCCUCAAGGUACCCAAGUCUUGCCUUCACACUCUCCUUGCCGCCCAUGCACAAUUAAGGAAGGUGGAGCCUCCUUGCCGGGGAGUUGGUUAAAAUUGGCGCCCUUGCAAUGAUAUACAUCUGUGGCCCUUUGAAUCUUAAUUAAAAUUUAAUUUGUUUUCCAAGUGUUCCGGUCACAUUUUCUCAAGGAUUAAUUUAAUUAUAUAAUACUAAUUAAGUUUAUAGUGAUAUUUCAAGUAAAGUGCAAUACUGUAUCUAAAAUGAAUAGAAUCAACGUAAAUAGAAAAGACACAGAGAGAAAUCUCUUUAUUUAAUUAGUGAAGGCACACCAAGAAAGCAUCUUUUUAGUUAAUAAGGAUAUGCUUUGCUCAUUUAUUGGAGACACUGAGCAGCUUUGACUUCUACUGAUUAUUUUAUGCACUCUCAAAUAGUUUCUGAAGUUUUUCAACCAUAGCAUUGUCCAAUUGGAAGGCCUUAGCAAGAACAUCAGGAUUAAUUGGUGGAUUAGGCCCAAAGACUGCAUUUGCUAUAGUGAUGACGCCUGGGUUUUGGCUGCUUAGACCUGCAAACGCAACUGCAUUCGUCUUUGCAAUAUUGAACUGAAAGUGAAUGAGACCGAUUGGGAAUACAAACACAUCUCCUGGGUAUAAGACUUUGGUGAAUAAACGAUUGGGGUUGGAUGUGACAAAGCCAACAUAAAGGGUUCCUUCCACAACUACAAGGAUCUCUGUGGCACGAGGGUGAGUGUGGGGAGGGUUUAAGCCACCAUAGGGAGCAAAGUCUAAGCGAGCGAGAGAAAUACCAAGAGUAUUAAGUCCAGGUAUUUUAUCAACAUUUAGGAGGGUGACAUUUGAUCCAACUCGAUUUCCUGUAAAUGCUGGGAUAUUGAGUCCCGAAAAAGAGAAAUCGCCAGCUACAGUAAGGUUUGGGUUCUUGCAGAACUUUCCAUUGACAAACACUGCAUUAACACAUUAGUUACUAUUAGAAUCCAUUCACCAUAUAUGCAUUUAAACAAGAAAAAAGGAUUCUUUGAAGGAUAUACUAUGACAGAACGUGAAAGAAAAAACUGAAAGCAAGCUUAUAGAUAUACCAGCAUUCUCAGGUUCAGGAAUUGCAACACAGAAGUCCUGGAGAGGGCUAGGGUCAUCGGCAGAGGCAAAAGAGGAAGCCAAAGCCAAAGCCAAAGCCAACAAGACAAGGAAAUCAAAGGCCUUCAUUUUAUGACUUGUUUUGCUAGCCUUUAAUUGUUGAGUUGGAGGUGUGAAUAAUCUUGCAUGAAUAAAUGAGUAUUUAUAGGUUAAAUUAGUCUCUCAUCUCUGCUUUGAUCUCUAGAUGCUGAUGCAAGGUUGCUAGGUAGUGGUUAAUGAUUUCCAUUUUUUUUUUAAAAAAAAUUUAAGCAACCCAGGAACUUUUCUACAAGUAUGUGCAUAUGCAUUUAAUCAUCCCUUCUUUUGAAUUAAAUUUCAAUCUCAAGUUGGAAUGAUUCAACUCUUUCAAGCUUCUGCAACCUGUGAUGAAAAUUUGCAUUUUGACCUCCCUAGAGUUCUAAUUUUCUUUUCUCACCACCUUUUUUUGUUUAAGGGAAAGAGGAUACUAUGUUUAUGGGUUGGAUUUUUGUAUGUACUCAGCUCGACUAAAUCAUAUUAGAACAGAUUGUUUCUUAGUGUAGAUAUCUGUUUUGAUAUAUGGUAAAAGAUCGUACAAGUUCCUACAAUAUAAAUUAUGGUUACAUUCAUGAAUUUAUUAGCUAUUUUCAUGAAUUUUUAUGAAUAUUUUAUCUUUUACUGGGCUGAUUUUGCUAGAAUAUAUUGAGAAAAAAAUAAAUAAAUGGAGGGACUAUCCAAUUGAAUAAAAAAAAUUAGGAAAAUAUUAAGAGAUAAAAAUGCAAAAGAAUAUGGCAUUACUUAAAGACCGAGUAUCAAUUCAUCAAAUUAAUUUAAUAAAAUCAGUAGUUAAAAUUCAAACUUUGUAAAUAAUAAAAAAGGGUGGUUGGAUUUGAAAAGAAAAGUUCAAAUGCAAAGUGAAAAAAUAAUCAGAAACCUUGUGGUGGCGGUUGAAGUUUCCUUUCGUUUGUCUCAAAGACCACGUCAAUGAAGUAAUUGUCACCCCAUGCAUAUGCAUGAAAGAAACUUACGAAUCUUGAAUUCAAGCAAGGCCUCUAGCAGUUAGCAUACAAUAGGCCAAUUUUUUUUAGCACUAUUUCAUUAUUUAAUUAUAUACUCUUCAAUUUUUAACAUGCUAUAUUAUAAGAUUUAAUAUUUUAAUUCAACUAUUAUAGGAAGAUGGUCACCACUUUAUAAUGUAUCUAAUAAAAUGACUAUAAAUUAGUGUAAUAUAUAUUUAAAUUGCAGUUAUAAAUCGUUUCAUUUUGAUAAUAUAUAAAAAGUAAUGAAGGUUGAGAUCGUGACACGUGUACGCGUGAUUUAAAAGAGACGAGUUAACCUUUUUAUCUGAUCUGACCAAAUUGAAAAAAGACCAUUAUCACUCUUGACCUCCUCCAUACCCAGAACGAGCAGGGCGACCUUUUCAUUGCUCCUACCACAUAUUAGAAACAAAUGUAAAGACCAUCGAUCCCAAUGAAGAUCGUGCAGACUGGGCAUCACCUGAUAAAACUAGAGUAAGUCAACCAAUUUCCAUGCGAUAAUCGACCCCUCUUUAGCCCAUUCCGAGAUAUUAAAUAAGUGUGCAGAAAGACUGCUCAUCCACCUAACAUACCUGCCAAAAAAUAUGGGCUCAAUGGCUUAGCAUUAAUCAGUUGUCUGCCAGCUGGCUUACAUACCUGCCGCACCAUGUCACCAUCCAAUCCGGUAGAACAUAAAGCAGGAAAUCGGGAUAUAAAUAUCCCAAAACCCACCUUGCCACAAGAGGCUAUAAGGAAGAGACCAUCUUUCUCUCUCAAGCUUCGGUAAAUUGACUCUCCCUAAAACAAAAAGUUCUCUUAAAGUGGACUCUCUCUUUGAUAUAUCAACUGAGGAACCCCGCCAGAUAGAGGCUCUCUUUUCUCUAGGAGCCAAGGCCCAAAAGGAGUUAAUAUUCUUCACAUAUACUCACAGAAAUAUCCUCAAAAUAAAGGUCCUUUGGAGAUUUCUUGAAAAUAUUUUAUUACUUCAUUUACUUUUAUUUCCUCUCUAUAUUAACAAUCUAACCUGAGCUUCGGAGGGUCUCCACUGGGGGCAUUCCCAGUGGACCCCUAAUCAUCUUGUCUGUCUUACAGAUCCCCUCCCACAAGAUCAAGUGUGGAAGGACUCAACAGAACCAAUCCUGGAGGCUGGAUCAACAGUCAACCUAUUGGAUUGAACCACUACCAGGUGUUCACAUAUGGACACCCCCUAGAUCUCCCUUACAUCAUGUGGCGCUGUCUGCAACGAAUGAGACUAUCCGAUCGCUGGAGUUUCCAAACCAAACUUAUUGAGAUCCACGUGGCAAACCAAAAAAAGCUAAUAGCCAAACAAUAAGAAAAAUAAAAAGAAAGAGAGGGGUGAAAAGACUCAAGAAUCACCAGUUGUAUCUAAAAGCCACACGACGAAAAAUCAAAUAGAAAAAGAUGUUGAUGCGAUAAGAAGGAGCAACCAUGGAAAAGGAGUGACGUGCACGAAUUACCCAAUUUGUAUAGUUACAUUCUUUAACUCAAGGUAUUUUAUUAUUACGAACCAGUAAAAAAAGUUAUAAUGAACCAUAAUAUGAUAAGUACAUUAAAAAAGCUUAAAAGCUCUCAUCUAUGAUUAAUUUUAGCAUAAAUCCAUUGAAAACAAGAUUAUCUGUUUAAUUGGAAGGUGUGAAGUAAUUUAUGCAUGAGAACACUUAUUAGAUUCUUUUGAAUCAUAUGAAAUAAUAUGGUUGCACAGAAUUAAUGUUUUCUCUACUUUUUUUUUUUUUAAAAAAAGUUGAUGUUGAAUGUGUAUAUGUUUAUACAUAAGGACGUGAAAUUUUAUUAAUGAACAUUUAGGAAAUAAAAAAAAAACUUGGAAAUAUAUCAUCAACCUUACAAAUAUAUCUAAUCUAGGACAAGUAUGCAUGGUAGUUGAAAAACUUGGAAAGAUCAGAUCUAUGUACCAAGAACAGACAAUCCCACAUUGCAGGGCAACUCAAUUGCUCAAAUAUACCACAAAAAAAAAGCAUCAGGAAAUAAUCAAACAUAACAGCUCUACUUUUAAACCAAACCCUAGCUAAGCCAACCCAAAAUAAGGAUGCAGAUGAUGUGGAAAAGGUGCCAAAUCCAGGGAUGUGAUGCCGCAGUAACCCAAUCCAACAAUAGCAGGCUAGAGAUUCGGUAAAGACUGACUAGGCAACGGAGCCAUUAGGACCAGAAAUUCCCUAGACACCACUAUAGGAAGAACAUUUAGGCUGCUGAUAAUUGAAUUAAUAGUAGAUGAAAAACGUUUUGUAAUCUCAAGUUUUUCUUCUCUUUUUAGCAAUCUCAACCAGACAAACAAAACAGGCUAAACUUAAAUAAGAGUGGAAGGAAUCUUUUGAGUCUUAGAUACUCUGAUUCAAUUGUUAGUAUUGAUUCAAUAUUUCUUUCUCUUUUAUUAUUAUUUUUCUUUUCAAGUGUUUCAGCCCAUAUUUCAAAUACGGAUCCGAAAUGAACAUAUAGAGAAGGCACACCAAAAGUCUCUUUAUUAAAUUAUUAUAAGAACACCAAGAAUGCAUACAUUUGCAUAUAACUAGUAUAUGCUUGCUCAAUUAUUAGAGACAAAUGCAUGAAAUGUAACUAAACAUUAUUUUAAAAUAAUGAGCACCAUUGACUUUAAAUGAUUGUUUUAGGCAUUGGCAAAUAGUUUCUGCAAUUUUUCCACAGCAUAAUUGUCCAAUUGGAAGGCCUUAGCAAGAACAUCUGGAUUAAUGGGUGGAUUAGGCCCAAAGACUGCAUUUGCUAUGGUGAUGACGCCUGGGUUUUGGCUGCUUAGACCAGCAAAGGCAACUGCAUUCGUCUUUGCAAUGUUAAACUGGAAGUGGAUGAGACCAAUUGGAAAUACAAAAACAUCUCCGGGGUAUAAGACUUUGGUGAACAAACGAUUGGGGUUGGAUGUGACAAAGCCAACAUAAAGGGUGCCCUCCACAACUACAAGGAUCUCUGUGGCACGAGGGUGAGUGUGGGGAGGGUUUAAGCCACCAUUAGGAGCAAAGUCUAAGCGAGCGAGAGAAAUACCAAGAGUAUUAAGUCCUGGUAUUUUGUCAACGUUUACGAGGGUGACAUUUGAUCCAACUCGGUUUCCUGUAAAUGCAGGAAUAUUGAGUCCCGAAAUAGAGAAAUCACCAGCUACAGUGAGAUUUGGAUUCUUGCAGAACUUCCCAUUAACAAACACUGCAUUAAUACAUAAAAAGUUAGUAUCAGUAUCCAUUAGACAUGAAAAUAACAAAAUAAGAAAAAAGAUUAAUAUUGUGAUGUAUACCAGCAUUCUUAGGUUCAGGAAUUGCAACACAGAAGUCCUGGAGAGGGCUAGGGUCAAAGGCGGAGGCAAAAGAGAAAGCCACAGCCAAAGCUAAUAAGACAAGGAAAUGAAAGGCCUUCAUUUUAGGACUGCUUGAUUUCUCUAGCCUUUUGUUGUUGAGCUGAAGGUCUGAAAAAUGUUGCUGCAACGGAUGAGUAUUUAUAGGUAAAGCUCUCUCAGGUAUUCUCAAGGGUUAGCUGUUUUUUAUUUCACCAAACCACGAAUUAUUCUAUAAAUGUAAGCAUAUACAUCUAACCAUUCCUCCUUUUGAAUUAAUUUUCAAUGUAAACUUGGACCGCUUCAAAUCGUUCAAGUUUUGAAGUUUUCAUUUUCACCUCCUAUAGUUUUAUUUAUUUUGUUUUUUGGUUUAAUGGAGAGUUAGGGUUUGGGAAUUUGCACAGCUAAAUUGUUUACAAGGAAUUUGCUGGCUGCUAAAAAAUUAUUUUUUAAUCUAGCAAUAAUAUUAGGUAUGUACAAUAUAAUAAGGGAGAGUGAUGAAAUUUGAUGGCUGCUAAAACUACAUAUGAACAAGUCCUCCAUGGAGACAUAAUAAAAGAUGGCCUUAUUCCAGUGAUUGUAUGAGAACGUAUAUAGUAUAACAUCCCAUUUUAUGAAAUCAAAAUUUUCCCAUUUAUUUGAUAAAGUAUAUAUUUUUUAAUUUAUUUUUCUUAUUACUCUGUUUUUUGGUUUAAUGGAGAGUUAGGGUUUGAGAAUUUGUACUGCUAAAAAUUGUUUACAAGAAAUAUUAAUUGCUAUUCUUGAAAUAAAAUGAUUUGAAAAUUUUUAAGUAUCUAACUCUGCUUAUUAUAAUAAUUAAUAAAUAUAAUAUAAUAGCAUAGUCUUAUGACUAAUGGCUGCUAAAAAUUUAUUUUUUAAAUUUACGUAUGAUCCAAUCGGAGACUUAUUUAGUGGUUACCCGUGGAGACAUGAUCACAGAAUAGCCUUAUUCUACAAAUAAAAAAAUAAAAAAAAAUAAAAAAAAAUCCAUUGUUUUCAUUAUGACUUCUUCUCAUGACUAAGUACAAUAAGCAAGCGGAUAUUAAUUUUUUUUACUUGGUCUUGUUUCAAAGAUUAAUUUGUCAAAUUAUAACGAAUUCAUAUAUUCUAUUAAUAUUUUAUACGUAAUUUGGUAAUGGGCAGGUAAAUGAUACAUAGAAUCAGCUAUAAUUAAACUUGGAAUUAAGCAACAAAUGCAUAAUAUAGACUGCGGCUAUUAUAAACUAUUUAAUUACUAAGUAUUAAAUAAUAAAUAUUUAAAGUUAAAUUCGUAAGAUAUUUUAUCAUAAAUUCAGAUAUAAAUAUUUAUUUUGAUGGUAUAAAUUGUUUAAAAUCCAUGCAGUAUCAUUUGUUUAUUCAUCCUAUCUAUAUCUUUUAAUUAGUCCAUUAAUUAAUUAGACUGUCUGAAUUUUCCUAAGCAUUCCAACCAUAUAUACAACUAAUACCACAUAUACACAUGUCGAUUCUCAAAUGAGAUAAAGAUGAUGUUUGAACCAUUUAGUCAUAGAUAUAUAUAUAUCCAUUUAAUAAAUGGAAAAAAUAAAUAUUGCAGAAAAUUAGUGCAAGUCAUUUACAGAUUUAUAUUAAUCUACAUUUCUUUUUAACCCAGAAGGAGAAAAGUUUUACUUAGUGUGUUAAAAUUGUGGCCUAGCGUAGAACUAAUCCAAGAUACUGAAGAUUAAUUCAAACAUUAAGAGAAACAAAAGAAAGAUGACCAUUUCCAUCAAAAGAAAGAAUGAUUCAUUGUUGGAACAUUAAGAAACAAGAAAACAAUGAACGACUACUCCAUCAACUGAUUGUGUGCAAGGGAUAAAAAUUGAAUAAUUCAGAGAAUUUCACCCAUAAAUACUCAUCUUUACAUGCAAGGCUUCUCACACUUUGCAUUCAUAUCACAUAAGCUAAUUAAAGAUAGUCUUCCCAACUUAAGAAAAAAAACAAAAUGGAAGGAAGUCGAUUCCUUGCAGCUUCUGCAGUAUUAGUCUUGGCUUUGGCUUUCUCCAUGGCCUCAGCCUAUGAUCCUAGCCCUCUCCAGGACUUCUGCGUGGCAAUGAAUGAUCCCAAGAAUGCUGGUAUUUAUAACCUUGUUUUUGUUUUUUCUUAUUUAAUAUUUUGAAAUCCUUUCUUGCUUUGAUAGAUGCUUGAUAUUGAGAGAUUCUUUAAUGCAGUGUUUGUCAAUGGGAAGUUCUGCAAGAAUCCAAAUCUCACUGUAGCUGAUGAUUUCUCCUUCUCUGGACUCAAUAUUCCUGGAAAUACUGAAAAUAGAGUUAGAUCAAAUGUCACCCUCUUGAAUGUUGAUAGAAUACCAGGACUUAAUACUCUUGGUAUUUCUCUCGCUCGGUUAGACUUUGCACCCAAUGGCGGCUUAAAUCCUCCUCACACUCACCCUCGUGCCACAGAAAUCCUAGUAGUCAUCGAAGGCACGCUUUAUGUUGGCUUUGUCACAUCCAAUCCUAAUCGCCUUAUCACUAAAGUCUUAUAUCCAGGAGAUGUCUUUGUGUUCCCAAUCGGUCUCAUUCAUUUCCAGUUUAAUGUUGGAAAGACAAAUGCAGUCGCUUUUGCUGGGCUAAGCAGCCAAAACCCUGGAGUUAUCACUAUAGCAAAUGCAGUAUUCGGGUCUAAUCCAUCCAUUAAUCCUGAUGUUCUAGCUAAGGCUUUCCAAUUAGACAAGAAUGUUGUCACCUCUCUUCAGAAGUUGUUCUGGGAUAGUAAUUGAUUAGAGAGGCAUGCGUAAAAUAAUUACAAAAUCAUUUAAUUGUAAUGGUGUUUACAUUCCCUGUAUUGCCAUGAGUAUUAAUUAAAUAAAGAAAUGAUUUUAUUUUGUUGUGUGCAGCUUUAGUUAAUUUCUCUAUACAUAUUUUUGUAGAUAGUGAUUCAUACUUUUGUUUUGAAUUGCAUAUUGCAUUACAAGUCAAGACUCAAGACUCUUGGAGACAUUAGACUACUUCAUCAGCUGAUUGUGCGCAAGGGAUAACAAUUGAAUAAUUCAGAGAAUUUCACCUAUAAAUACUCAUCUUUACAUGCAAGGCUUCUCACACUUUUCACCUAUAACUACUCAUGUUGAGACGAGAUAGAGCCCCAUCCGAGGCACUAAGGAACCGCAAUGUCUAAUUGUUUUAUGCACUCUCAAACAGUUUCUGAAGUUGCAAAAGAGAAAGCAAGGCUAAAGCCAACAAGAUAAGGAAAUGACAUGCCUUCAUCUUAUGACUACUUUCUCUAGGCUUUAGUUGUUGAGCUGAAGAUGUGAAAAAUCUUGCACCAACAGAUGAGUAUUUAUAAUUAAUAAGGCGAUAAUGGUGGAUUAAUCAUUGUAUAAGGAUCUACAUAUUUCCUGUAUUUCCAGAGAGAAAAAGCUUUCACCUCUUGGAUUUUUCUCCAACUUCUUAUUUCAGAUUUUGUGGAGCUUUAAUUUUGUUGGACUCCUCUUAUCCGUAGGGCAGCUAUAGCCAUUCUUACCGGUGAAAGAUGCUGCAAUAACCAUGAUGCAUGCUGUCCAGUAGAUGGAGACAUCUAGGGCAUGCUAGCUAAAUUAUUAUUUUUGGCACCAUGAACUACUUGCAGAGAAACUGCAUUCAAUUACGGGAGCAAUCAGCCGGCGAUGAAGAUCUUCGAGGAGAAGCUGGAGCAUUAGUUAAGCCUGUAUGCUGAGGCUCCGAAAUCCAAUCGAUAAAGGGUACUCUAUAUAAGAAUGAACAUGCACACCCCAUCCCAACCCCUUUUGCCCAAACCAUCCAUCUUCCUGCCGAACAUCACCUCAAUCCCACUUCCUCUUCAUCAAAUCUUAGUAUUUACCUGGAAAAGUUCCCUCUCAAGUGUGAUGCAGCUUUCUUGCAUAAGAUUGCUUCCAAGUUUGUCAGAAUUUUCAAUGUCUAUGUUGCAAGGAAACUAAACAAAGGAGGCAAAAGGUUUGCUUUUAUUCGGGUUUACACUUUGUCAGAUUUGCAUAUCUUGAUUAGGACUCUUAACUUACUUUGGAUCGACACCUACAAGUUAAAGGCCACCAUAUCGCGUUUCUUCAAAAGCCAUAAGAAGCCAUAAAUUUAACUUAUAAAUUUAAUUGAUUUUAUAUGAGAUUAAAUUUAUAUCAUUAUUAUUAUAAUUAUCAUUUAAUAAUGAGUUUUAGUUUAAUGGUAUUGAAUUUUUUUUUUUUAUAUAUAUAAUUUAAGAUGUUUGAGUUUAAAUUUCAGCCGAAGUUAAAUAUAUAAAAAUAUUCAUUUUUUCUUUUAUCUAUUGAAAUAAGGACAUAGUGUAGCUUUGCUUUUUAGAGGGAAAUUAUUCAAAGCACUAGGGUGUGUAUGCUUAUUUAGAAAGUAUGAAUUACAUCCUCCAAAAUUUAAGAAAAAAACUUUCUUUUCAUUAGUGAAGAGUGUAAAUACAUACAGUAAACUGUAUAUGUUGCAGAAUUUGCUAACAUUAAUAGUAUAUUUUUGCAAAUAUGUUUAUAAAGCAAUUUGCAAAUCAGUCUCUCAUACUUUAGCUUGAGUCAGUGUUUUAUGUUACAUUAUAAUAAAUGAGUAUGGUACCUUUCCCAUUGAAAAAAAAAAAAAAAAAGUAUGAUACUUUCCCUUUAUGAUUGACACAUGAUAUUUCUAAUAUUUAAAAUCAAUAUUUUUUUUUUUUUAAAUAUAGUGUGAUGAACUAAGAUUCGGAAGAUAUAUCGAAUGGUGAUGCUUGAGUAAGGAUCCGAUUAAGCGAGGAUCAAUAGAUUGGGAUUGGUGGUUGAAAAGUUAAUAGAUUUAUAUAUUGGUUCGAAUAGGUUAAAGAUUUAAGAAAAAUAAAAAAAAUGUAAGUUAGAUUAUUAGAUGAGACAAAAAUGCCUUUUUAGCCGAUGUGUCAAGCGGUUUAUUGAUGGUAGAUAAUUGAUUAAUAAAUGUAGAGUCAAUUAAUUCAUUUUCUAUCUAUUUAUCUGUGUCACGUUGACAUGAUAUUUAAUACAUGUAUUUAUGAUUUUGUUAUGAACUAAUAUAGCCGAAUAUCGUAAUGAAAAUUUAUGUUUGUUCUUUGAUCGGAUCAAAUGACCUACUUAAUUUUUAUUAAAAUCGAUUCUUUUUAAUUGUCCAUAUUUAAUUAGUCGGACUACAUACUCAUAUUCUAAUAGUAUGGGACUUUAUGUUUUAUAUGUUAUUUUAGGAGUUUUAAAUACACAUUAAAUUUCAAACUUUUCUUGAUUUUUAUUGUUUUUGUUAUUUUUAGCACAGACACAUAUUCUAUACACAUAUUCUAAUCGUAAAGGACUUUAUAUUUUAUAUAUUAUUUCAUAAAUUUUAAAUAUACAUUUAAUUUCAAAUUUUUCUUGAUUUUCAUUGUUUUUGUUAUUUUUAGUAAUUUGAGUGAUAAAAGAAAGUAUUUAAAUAAUUUGUUUUCAAUUUUUAGUUAUAUUUCAAAUAAACAAAUGAAAAAGGCAAAAGUCAUCAAAUGAAAGCGAAACAACUAAAUUUAAGAUUUUUUUAUUCAAUUUAUAUUACACUGUUAUUUUUUUUUUCUCUAAGUGUUAGAGGGACAUGAUAUAUAUCAAGGAUUAAAAUACAUAUAUACAUAAAGUGAAAUACAAUAUUAAAAUCGAAAUGAAUCUAUAUAGGAAAAGCAACAAAAAAAUUAAUAAAAAUAUAUCUUUAUUUAAUUAAUAUAUAUAAACGCCACAAAAAACAUCUUUAUUGAAUUAGGAUAUGCAAGCUCAAUUAUUGGCCACACUGAAGGAAACAUAACCAAACACCAUUCUUAAACAGUAAGCAAACAUUGACUAAUUCUGCUAGAUCUUUCAUGCAUUAUUCUUAAACAGCUUCUGAAGAUUUUCCACGACAUUCUUAUCCAGCUGGAAAGCUUUAGCGAGAACAUCAGGAUUAAUGGGUGGAUUAGGUCCGAAGAUUGCAUUUGCUAUGGUAAUGACACCUGGGUUUUGGCUGCUUAGACCUGCAAACGCAACUGCAUGCGUUUUUGCAAUAUUAAACUGGAAAUGAAUGAGACCGAUUGGAAAUACAAACACAUCUCCUGGGUAUAAGACUUUGGAGAUAAAACGAUUAGGGUUGGAUGUGACAAAGCCAAC
rnacentral:lncRNA from 1 species